GGAAUCACAGAGUCAGACACGCAGUAUCCUCGCUUGAACUUGAUUGCCUCAUUGAAAACCCAAUUUCUGGUUAAGGUCACAUUCUGAGCUACUCUGGGGGGUGGGAUUACAAUAUAUCUUUUUGGAAGAAGAGAAUUCGACCCAUAACUUGAGCUACUUUGGACAAGUUACUUGACAUCUGCAUACUUCAUUUUCUUUAUCUGCAGAACAGAUAAUAUUGGGUUGACCAAGAAGUUUGUUCAGAUUUUUUCUGUACCAUCUUACAGGAAAACCUGAAGGAACUCUGUGGACAACCCAAUGCAUCAUAAUACUAACCUCACCGGGCUGUUGGGAUGGUUGACUAAGUGAACAUGUAAAUAACAUGCUUGGAACAGAAGGCGCUUCGUGGGUGCCCUGGGAGAGAGAGUAACUCCUAUCAUGAUCCCUCCUCACGGUCACAGACCUGUAGGAGGUGUGGACGCUUGCUGAGGAUGUGAAGUUGAAUUGGGACUGAGAGGUGGCUCUGAGGGACGCUGGUAUGGAGCUCAGUGUCACCUUGUGUGGCUGACUGCACCCAGAGAGCCCUGAGCCUGAUCUGGAAUUAACUCUCUCCUUCUUUUUCAAAGAAUUGUUUUCAAAGCUGGUGAGGCUUGGAUACUCCUCAGGGAGCCAGGGAGAGCUUCAGUCCUCAGUCUUCAACCUGGUGAAAUCCCACCAACAAGGCUUUAUCAUCUACAAAGCAGCCCUUUCUGGUACAGAUGGGAUCAGAAUACAUUUCACCCGAGUCCUGUUUCACGUGCCAGUACUAUUGAUGCCCUACCUUUACUGGCUUAGUGUAGCCAGAUCAAGCCUGAGACACCCCAAGGACCUGUGCUCCGUGAAUCAUGCUUGGAAUUUCCUUACUUGUUGGUAUUUGCCCCCCGAAGGAGCCGAAGACACGGCCCUGGUGGGUGUGAGCAGUGCAAGUCCUCAGGCAGCAGCUCUCAGCCCUGGCAGGGGGUACAGAGACCACGCAGGAACUUGAAGGACUCCAAGGAAUCUCUUCGUGUGAUUCACUGCACCAGAGCCUUCCUUCCAGCUGCCAAAGCCUGCGGAGCCCGCCUGUGACAGCCUGCCCUGGGGGCUGGAGUGUUGCGAAGACGGCAAAUCAAAGCUGGCUCAGCCCGAAGCCUGCAUGCCUGUUGGGAGGGCUGGCAGGUGCCGUGCCCAGGUGGGGUUUCUUAUGUAACGUGACACAUGGAUGAGCCGGCCGUGGGUGUACCCGGGGCCUGGCAGGGUGACUCAGGCCCCGCCAUCACUGCUUCCCAGAAACGUGGCACUCAGGUGUCAGCUGAGCAAACGUUCUGUGUGUCACUGUGAUUGUUAGAAAGCAAAGGAGGGUCCCAUGACGCAGUG
rnacentral:lncRNA from 1 species